UUUGAAACACCGGUUUCCUGACAACCACUGAAGUUAAGCAAUGUUGAGCUUGGUAAAUACCUAGAUGGGUGACCGCUUGGGAAUACCAGGUGUUGUAAG